UCCAGUCAAUCAACUUCAACUGUGUGUUCUGGCCCAUCGUUCAAUUUACUCUUCCCGCUAUUAAAUUAAAUAUCUUAACAAAUGUGCAGAAAGCCACAAGGGCUUCCCCCAGAGUUUACCCAGGGAUGAUGGCAGGGGGUGAUCCUAUGAGCUGGAUAUAUAAGCUGGAAAAGAGACCAUUGGUGGCUCAGAAGAUUUCUCCUUCAGAUUGGAUCCCCCUUUGAAGGUUGCUUCUCUCCUUGAUUGGUUUCCAUCCAUUUCUUCUUAUCCUGACCUCAGGUACUUUGGAGAAUCUUCUUUGUGGCACCCCCUCAAAUAUUGGAACACUACUUCUAUUUAUUAAACUAGACCUGCCCAAUUCCUGCAACCGUUCUUGGUGUGUUUUAGCCUCCGGUCCCCUAAUCAUACUGGUUGCUCUUCUCUGCACUCUUUCUUAGAGUUAAGACAUCUUUUUUAACAUCACGCUGACCAAAACUGAAUGCAAUAUUCCCGGUGUGGUCUUAUUAAGGCAUUAUAAAGUGGCACCUAAGAAGAUCAGACAAACAUAUACCAUACAUGAGCCACACCAUCUAUGACCCACAUCUUAAUGGUCAC